GAGUUUGAUCGUGGCUCAGGAUGAACGCUGGCGGCGUGCCUAAUACAUGCAAGUCGAGCGAACGGACGAGAAGCUUGCUUCUCUGAUGUUAGCGGCGGACGGGUGAGUAACACGUGGAUAACCCUACCUAUAUGACUGGGAUAACUUCGGGAAACCGGAGCUAAUACCGGAUGAUAUUUUGAACCGCAUGGUUCAAAAGUGAAAGACGGUCUUGCUGUCACUUAUAGAUGGAUCCGCGCUGCAUUAGCUAGUUGGUAAGGUAACGGCUUACCAAGGCAACGAUGCAUAGCCGACCUGAGAGGGUGAUCGGCCACACUGGAACUGAGACACGGUCCAGACUCCUACGGGAGCAGCAGUAGGGAAUCUUCCGCAAUGGGCGAAAGCCUGACGGAGCAACGCCGCGUGAGUGAUGAAGGUCUUCGGAUCGUAAAACUCUGUUAUUAGGGAGAACAUAUGUGUAAGUAACUGUGCACAUCUUGACGGUACCUAAUCAGAAAGCCACGGCUAAC
rnacentral:rRNA from 1 species